rnacentral:rRNA from 1 species
UACGGAGGAUGCAAGCGUUAUCCGGAAUGAUUGGGCGUAAAGCGUCCGCAGGUGGCUAUGUAAGUCUGCUGUUAAAGAGUGAGGCUCAACCUCAUAAGAGCAGUGGAAACUACAUAGCUGGAGUGCGUUCGGGGCAGAGGGAAUUCCUGGUGUAGCGGUGAAAUGCGUAGAUAUCAGGAAGAACACCGGUGGCGAAAGCACUCUGCUAGGCCGCAACUGACACUGAGGGACGAAAGCUAGGGGAGCGAAUGGG